GUCAUCCUGACCCCCGAGAGGUGCUCUACUCACUUCAGAUGUCCUCCUGACCCCCGAGAGGUGCUCUACUCACUUCAGAUGUCAUCCUGACCCCCGAGAGGUGCUCUACUCACUUCAGAUGUCAUCCUGACCCCCGAGAGAUGCUCUACUCACUUCAGAUGUCAUCCUGACCCCGAGAGAUGCUCUACUCACUUCAGAUGUCAUCCUGACCCCCGAGAGGUGCUCUACUCACUUCAGAUGUCAUCCUGACCCCCGAGAGAUGCUCUACUCACUUCAGAUGGCAUCCUGACCCCCGAUAGGUGCUCUACUCACUUCAGAUGUCCUCCUGACCCCGAGAGGUGCUCUACUCACUUCAGAUGUCAUCCUGACCCCCGAGAGGUGCUCUACUCACUUCAGAUGUCAUCCUGACCCCCGAGAGAUGCUCUACUCACUUCAGAUGUCAUCCUGACCCCCGAGAGAUGCUCUACUCACUUCAGAUGUCAUCCUGACCCCCGAGAGGUGCUCUACUCACUUCAGAUGUCAUCCUGACCCCCGAGAGAUGCUCUACUCACUUCAGAGUCUCUGUUCCUGCAGGGAUCACAUACUAAACAUGCAUUCACUGUAAUGUAAAACCGCUUUGAAUAAAAGCGUCUACUAUACGUGGCAUAGAUUACUCUGUUCUUUGGCCGUAUCUCAUAUAGCAUGCUAUAAGUGACAUAUUACCCAUGAGAUUAGGCCCAAACACAUGGUGUUUGUAUUACUCAUGAGAUUAGGCCCAAAUUUAGUGUGUUUGUAUUACUCAUGAGAUUUGGCCCAAGAACAGGGUGUGCAUUUUACUCAUGUGGCCAUUUAAAGAUACACAGUUCAUACAUGAUAACGUAAUGGCUGUAGAUAAUCAACCCCCUGCUCCAACCUGUCAGUUUCUCUGACCUCUCCUUAAACUGAGACUCAUAAUUUAAUGGCUGUAGAUAAUCAACCCCCUGCUCCAACCUGUCAGUUUCUCUGACCUCUCCUUAAACUGAGACUCAUAAUUUAAUGGCUGUAGAUAAUCAACCCCCCUGCUCCAACCUGUCAGUUUCUCUGACCUCUCCUUAAACUGAGACUCAUAACUUAAUGGCUGUAGAUAAUCAACCCCCUGCUCCAACCUGUCAGUUUCUCUGACCUCUCCUUAAACUGAGACUCAUAACUUAAUGGCUGUAGAUAAUCAACCCCCUGCUCCAACCUGUCAGUUUCUCUGACCUCUCCUUAAACUGAGACUCAUAACUUAAUGGCUGUAGAUAAUCAACCCCCUGCGCCAACCUGUCAGUUUCUCUGACCUCUCCUUAAACUGAGACUCAUAACUUAAUGGCUGUAGAUAAUCAACCCCCUGCACCAACCUGUCAGUUUCUCUGACCUCUCCUUAAACUGAGACUCAUAACUUAAUGGCUGUAGAUAAUCAACCCCCCUGCUCCAACCUGUCAGUUUCUCUGACCUCUCCUUAAACUGAGACUCAGCGACGUGACAUUGCCACAAGCAGCAGGGUUGACCAAAGAUAUUUCAUAUGAGUGUGAUGCAAGAAGAUGCACUCUCACAGAGUAUCUGUACGGGCACACUUCACUCUGCUGCGACGGCUGCAGGCUGCCAAAAACGGUGGAGAAGUUUUGCCUCGUGCUUCAACUCUCUGUUGCAGAAAUCGUUCCGAUACUGAUGUUUACUUUGUUUAUCACUGAGUCUACGUUCAAACCAGUCAGUCUCUGACCUCUGUCUGACCCCCCUCCCCACUCCAGGACUAACCUGUCUCUCUCUCUCUGCCCUGUCUGUCUCUCUAAUCUGUCUCUCUCUCUGUCCCCACUCCAGGACUAACCUGUCUCUCUCUCUCUGCCCUGUCUGUCUCUCUAAUCUGUCUCUCUCUCUGUCCCCACUCCAGGACUAACCUGUCUCUCUCUCUCUGCCCUGUCUGUCUCUCUAAUCUGUCUCUCUCUCUGUCCCCACUCCAGGACUAACCUGUCUCUCUCUCUCUGCCCUGUCUGUCUCUCUAAUCUGUCUCUCUCUCUGUCCCCACUCCAGGACUAACCUGUCUCUCUCUCUCUGCCCUGUCUGUCUCUCUAAUCUGUCUCUCUCUCUGUCCCCACUCCAGGACUAACCUGUCUCUCUCUCUCUGCCCUGUCUGUCUCUCUAAUCUGUCUCUCACUCUGCCCCCUCCAGGACUAACCUGUCUCUCUCUCUCUGCCCUGUCUGUCUCUCUAAUCUGUCUCUCACUCUGUCCCCACUCUAGAACUAACCUGUCUCUCUCUCUCUGCCCUGUCUGUCUCUCUAACCUGUCUCUCUCUCUCUGUCCCCCCUCCAGGACUAACCUGUCUGUCUCUCUAAUCUGUCUCUCUCUCUGCCCUGUCUGUCUCUCUAAUCUGUCUCUCUCUCUGCCCCCCCUCCAGGACUAACCUGUCUGUCUCUCUAAUCUGUCUGUCUCUCAGCACCCUCUAGGACU